CCUACGGGUUGCACCAGUGGGGAAUAUUGCACAAUGGGCGCAAGCCUGAUGCAGCCAUGCCGCGUGUAUGAAGAAGGCCUUCGGGUUGUAAAGUACUUUCAGCGGGGAGGAAGGCGAUAAGGUUAAUAACCUUGUCGAUUGACGUUACCCGCAGAAGAAGCACCGGCUAACUCCGUGCCAGCAGCCGCGGUAAUACGGAGGGUGCAAGCGUUAAUCGGGAUUACUGGGCGUAAAGCGCACGCAGGCGGUCUGUCAAGUCGGAUGUGAAAUCCCCGGGCUCAACCUGGGAACCGCAUUCGAAACUGGCAGGCUAGAGUCUUGUAGAGGGGGGUAGAAUUCCAGGUGUAGCGGUGAAAUGCGUAGAGAUCUGGAGGAACACCAGUGGCGAAGGCGACUCACUGGUCUGUAACUGACGCUGAGGCUCGAAAGCGUGGGGAGCAAACAGGAUUAGAUACCCGGGUAGUC
rnacentral:rRNA from 1 species